rnacentral:misc_RNA from 1 species
ACACCUCAACUCUUUAUGGUUUUCCAUGAUGAGCUUGGACUUUGGGGGUUUUGCUGGCCUACAGGUCAGCUCCUCUAAAAUAAAUCAGCUUACCAGUGUUUGCUGGGUAUCCUGGGUGUGAUAACUAUCUACGCUCGUGGUUUUCCAUCAGAUAACCUUCACAGCAGUGGAGGUUCACUGGAGCUCAUAGAUGUCUCUCCUCAGUGAGGACAGCCCUUUGAAU